AACGCACAUUGCACUCUCUGGUAUUCCGGAGAGUAUGCUUGUUUGAGUAUCAGUAAACACCUCAAAUCUCUACAUUCGUGUUGAGAAUUGGACUUGAGCAAUCCCAACUCUUUGCAAAAAGGGGCGGGUUGCUUGAAAUGCAGGUGCAGCUGGACAUUCUUCUGAGCUAAAAGCAUAUUUAUUUAGUCCCGUCAAACGGAUUAUUACUUUUGCUCUAGCUAACAUAAAGGUUGAAUGCGCCACAUGCUGACUGAUGCAGGAUUACCAAGUUUCCGUCAAAAGAAAUUUGUAAACUCGAUCUCAAAUCAAGUAAGACUACCCGCUGAACUUAA
rnacentral:misc_RNA from 1 species